CCCGAGAGCACGUCUGCCUGAGCGCUCGUUUCCUGCGGCCCCCUCGACGGCUCAGAUGCCGUACGGGAGCGAGUUGAAGCGUCGCCCGGCCCCCAUGCCGGGGCGGGCGUCCUUCGAAGGAACGCAGCGGCUGUGUGUCCUGCCCUGUGGGCUUGCGCACGCGACGGAGCCACUGAGUCGACGUGCCCUGCCCCCAGGCGGUCUCCUUGCCGUGACGGAUGACAGAACCCACCUGGGCCUCAGGUCAGGCGAGACGACCCGCUGAAUUUAAGCAUAUUAAUAAGCGGAGGAAAAGAAACUAACCAGGAUUCCCCCAGUAGCGGCGAGUGAAGCGGGAACAGCCCAAGCCUGUAAUCUCCGAUGCGUGCAUCGGCGAAUUGUAGUCUGGAGAAGGGCCAUCCCUGCAGCGGUCCUCCCGAAGUCGCCGAGGAAAGGCGCGCCGGAGAGGGUGAUAGCCCCGUGCGCGGGAGCGACCGACUGUGGGACACGAGGCCUCUUCGGAGAGUCGGGUUGUUUGGGAUUGCAGCCCAAAGUGGGUGGUAAACUCCAUCUAAGGCUAAAUACUGGCACAAGACCG
rnacentral:rRNA from 1 species